AUGGAGUUCGACGACGCCUACCUCCGGGCGAUCGGCACACUCCCUCCUCUUCCGACUGUCCACCUCGCUCCCACCCACCUCGACCGCGCCGGCGCACUCGAAGAUUCCGAGGAACUCCCGGCGACGCUGUAUGCCGCCGCACUCGAUGCCCAUCUUUUUCACCCGCCGUUCUUGGUGCCCUUGCCGUCCCUGCUUCCGGACCGCGUCGUCCCGGACUCCAAGAACACGGCGGCACGCCCGCAUCUGUCCGGCUUCGGAUUCGCUCCCACGCCCGUCGAUCACGCCGCCGCAAUCGAAUGUUCCGUGGAGCUCCCGGCGACGUGCGAGCUGUACGCCGCCGCACUCGACGCCCAUCUUUUUCACCCAUCCUUCGAGGUGCCCGCACCGUCCCUGCUCCCGGACCGCGUCGUCCCGGACUGCAAGAACUCGGCCACGCGCCCGCGGCUCUCCGACUACGACAUUGACAUCGACUUCAACCUCCGGGAGAUGGAGAAGAACGUCGAGGAGCGGCCUUUGCCGGACUACCUGAAGACGGUGCAGGGGGGUCGGAUGAGCCCAUCGAUGCGUGCCACCCUCAUCUUCUGGAUGGACGACUUCACCCGGCACUACGACCUGGCCCCUGGCACGCUUCACCGUGCCGUCUCCUACGUCGACCGCGUCCUGUCGGCGCGAACCUUGUCUACGGCUCGCAUGGACAUGGAGUAUGAGCUCCGUCUCCUGGGCGCCACGGCCGUCUUCACCGCCGCCAAAUACGAGGAGCGGGGCACCAGAUUCAAGGUGAACGCCGCGAAAAUUGCCGACGACUGUGGGUUCGCCACGAGCAAGGAGGUGACCGACAUGGAGUGCAACAUGUUUGCGGCACUCCGGUACGAGCUCAGCGGACCAACGGCCUACACCUUCGUGGACCACUUCACCAGGUACAGCAAAGGAGAGAGCGACCUGGAGGUUCAGAAGUUGGCGCAUCAGCUCGCCGAAACAUCGCUGGUCGACUACAGAUGCCUGCAGCUCCUGCCGUCCGCCGUGGCGGCGUCGGCGGUCUUUCUCGCCAGGCUGAUCUUGAAUCCAACGGCCAGCCAGAAGUGGAACAGAGAAUUCACGGAGCUGACAGGGUACAAGCCCACGGACCUCAUCCUUGGCAUUCAGUCCUUGUACAUGAUGAAUCCCGAUCCUCGCUUCGUGGUCUUGCCAGAGUUCUUGUAA
rnacentral:rRNA from 1 species